CUCUGCAUUCAAAGUACCUGAGAGCAUUCUUAUACUUUUAUGACUUUCCCUCUUCCCCUUUCUCUUCAAUUUAAAUAACUCUCUCUUUCUCCUUUUCACAUCAGAAAUCAAGUUAGCAAUCACUGAUACGAACUUUAAGUUUUCUUUUGUUCUAAGUUUUCCAAGUCAAAGUACAUGAGUAUACCGUAGAAAUAAGGUGAUAUGGCUAGAAAACUCCCCUUAACCAGAGGUGGUGGUAAAGCACAAUGGGGAAAAGGCAAGUUAACAAGGAGUGAAAAGGUGCUAGCCUUCAACACUCGAUAAUGAGAAAGGGUACUCCCGAUACCUUCCUAGUCUGAGGAGGAGGGUGAAAGUAGUAGAAGCAGUACAAGUUCCAGACCCAAUGAGGAAAGGAUUAAAACCUCUAACCCUAACCAAGUUGAGGCGUUGGAACAAAAGGAUCCAAAUAUCUUAAGGCGCAAGGACCCGUAAAUGCGAGAGGUAAUUUAAUAGAAAAUAGAGAGAGCACGAGAGUAUUUCCUGGAUGGGAUGGAACCAACAGCUAGCAGGCUAAUAAGGAGGCCCAUCCACAAAGAGUAUCAGAUUGUCACAACUGGACUGCAUGAGUACCUAGAGCUGGAGCGGAGAUUCAAUGAAUAUGAGUUAUCUUGGAUGAGCAGGCUGCCCAGGACAUACCAACCAAAUAUUGUUCAUGAGUUCUUUACCAACUAUGUGUCAUUGCUAAAGAAAGAUUGCCCCAAGGGUGCAAAGAUCAAUGACAUGGGAAACCAAGAUGUGGUUUCGGUGAGUGGAGUGAGCAUAUAUAUUUUAGAAUGCACAUUGAACGUAUUCCUAUUUGGUCCUGAGUAUGAGAUACCUGCUGCGACCCCAGAUCUGGAGCACCGAAUGGUCAUAGAAAACCAACAAAGACCCUGGCUGGCUCAAGUAUUGAUAGAUGAAGAAAAUAUAGUGUGGCUGUAUAACCCUCUUGAGUGGAUAGCUAAGACAUCCCUAAGAUUUAGGGAGAAAUUUUGGUGGGUAAUUGUUACGUUGAGAUUGAUGCCAAUAGGAGGCAAUGCUAACUUGUAGAUUCAGAGAGCAGCAAUGGUUGUUGGCUUCAUUGAAGGGCUAAAGGUAGACUUCGGCCACACUAUCACCGAUGAAUUAUUUGCCCACGCACAUACGACGUACAGUGCUCUACUAUUUCUAUGCCUUAUCACAGAGUUUUGCAGAUGACAAAUAUGCCUUUGAAUAGUGGGGUUGAUAAUAAGGUUUGUACGAGUCACAUACAGGAUAUUGACAAAACAAAAUAUGACUCAAAGUAUGAAAUACGAGUCAACAAGACUCCCACCUAUCAAACUCAGUCAGCUCCAGCCCUCAGGACUUUGAAUAUUCCCUCAGGCAUGCCGUUACCUAUUGCUACUUAUGUACUGCUGGAUUUUAUGCCAUCUACCACUUCUAUAUGUUCAGCCUCUAUGCCGCUAAUGGGUAGGACUGUAGAUUCUGCAUCUAUCCCGCCUCAAUAUUCUGAGUACAGAAUGACACAGGAGAAUUCUGCCAUGUCUGGUAAAGUAUAAAAGAGGUUUAUAAAGCAGCUAAACACAUGGGCUACACAGUUCAAGCCUUUUAUUGACCGUAUUAUAGCAGAGGUAAUUUGUACCAUUCAGAAUAUUCAGAUCAGGAUGGACUACAUGGAGGAGCGUGUCAACAAAAGGCUAGAUACGAUGUCUAUUCCAAUUUUUUCUUAGUCAUGGUAGAAUUCAGGCAAGCAUACACGAACAUAGCAGAGCUAAAAAGACAACCACAACAGCCCACUAUUGACCCUUCUCUAAUUAUCAGUAAUAAGGAAAGCUGUGAAAAGGCAAAGGAGAGAAGCAAUGACUCCUGAAGAAAGGUAUGAGAGAGACUUGAGGAUGAAGCCUCAUGAGUGUUAACCAGUUCUGCCCACCUAGGAGGACAAUUAUAAACCUGGUUCCUAUUAAUAUACCUUCGAUCCAGGAGGAUGAUGAUUUCACCACCACUACCACCAUAGGGGUCAGUAUUGCAGCACUUAAAGCCAAAGAAUCCCCACCGCAUUUGACUGGUGCCUCAUCAGACUGAGAGGCUUUACAAGAAUUCCCCUACUUUGUAUGUUAUUUUAAUGCAUUGAGGAUAAAUCAUUCAUUUUUAGUUGGGGUGGGUAUAAUUGUACGACGGGGAUUUUUGUUGCUCCUGUUCUUUUUUUUCCCAUGUUCUAUCUAGUAGAACCGACAUGUUUAGAUUUCAUAUUUAUUUUUCUUCUGAUGUACAUAUCGUGUCAUGAUUAUAAAUAUGUUAUUUAUGUUA